UUAAAUCAUGUUCUUCUUCUUCUUACUCUAAUAAUAACUGUAUUUUACUCUUUGUGACAUUUCAAGUUGCUAUCUACAUUAGGAUCAACUUUUAAUGGAGGGUCAGAUGAUGGCAAACCUACACUUCCCAGUGUACUAUGCAGCAGACAUACGGCCAUACAACCAAGAAUGCACUUCCCAGGAGACUAAUGUCUAAUGUAGGGGAUAUUUUGUCAUGAAGAAGAAAAGGAAAUCCUGUUUGAAGCAGGAACAGAGAGAGAAUCUGAGUGGAAUUACAUGGAAGAGAAGACUAAAUAUCAUGUCUAGGGGGAAGAGAUGGAAAUCCUAUAAGGAGGAGAAAAAACAGACAAGUCAAGUGAGAAUUUCAUGGAAGAGUCCUAAGUUUCUGAGGGUGACAAGUUGAACCAAAGGAGAGGCUCCAGUGGAUUUGUCGCCACAGAGCUAGAGACUUCUGGAUCUGUAGCUAGGCAAAGUGAUGGCCAAGAACCAUAAAUGGUACAGGGAAUGGAGUUUCUGAUUUGGAUCAAGAACAUGAGUUAUAGGAAUCUGGAAUCCAGGCUAGGUGUUACAGCUAGCCCAGCAUCAAUUGCCCAAGGAACAAGGAAAAAUCUUUGGGUAUGACCUUCAGGACCUCAGCCCAGCAGAAGUAUUGAUCUGGCAGCAGUACCACCUUUCCAUGUAAACUUAACGAGAUCAAUGCUAUGCAGGAAGUUUUGACCCUAUUUCGUGCCCCGCAGGAAAGACCAAAGUGGUGUAGAGGGCAUUAUGGCCCUAAUGUGUUGGGAAGAAAUUAUUUGCAUAUUUCUUCUUGUUACAUCUUUGAAACAAAUAUUCCUUUAUAAAAUUAUAUAAGUAGUUAAGUGGAACUUGGAGUUCUAGUCACUAGCCCCCCUCCCUUAAAUGAGGGAAACAGCCAGUGGCAGCAAUAGAAGAUACCCCCAAAUCCCUCAGGGUACCCUAGAAUAUUGAGGGGGAGAUGUAGAAGCUUGGCCCUGAGAAAGUGGGACUUUCUCACGCCAUUCUGUGAGAUUAGGCUGCCCACAUGGCAUUAUUUCAGGGAAGACCUCUCUGUCCCAAAAUGUACCUCCCCUUCCUACUACUCAGCUGGUACCAAAAUUCCUUUAACAGAGGAUAAGGCCUUUGAUUUAUAAUUAGAGAAAACAUUUAAGGUAUAAACCUCCCUGGGAUAGGCAACAUGAUGAGUAAAGUUCCCACCAGGAUGUAAAUGAUUGUCCUAAUAACCUUUCCUGAUAGUAGGGUUUAUUAUUUAGAAGAGUAUUAGACAUCUGGAGUAGAAGGAACAGGAAUGCAAAGUGGGGACACGAGCUGCCAAGAAGGAAACAUUUGCCUGUUUCAUGAUUUUGCCAACAUAGGCUUCACUUCCUGAAACCUUCCUUUGGCCUGCAGAUCUGUGAUUUCAUUUAUGCAGAGAACUCCCAGUGAAGACCUUCCGAUGCAGAUCAUUAACUGUUCGGCACUAGGCUGUGUAUCUUGUCCAGGGUCACAUCACCCUCAGCCAUUAUGUGUCAGAAGCAUGUCUUCCAAGGACCACCUGAAGACUCUGAAGACCAGCUCUGUAGCUACUAUAUCACACUGCGUUUCAGUGUAAUCUUAAGUGCCAUUAAUAUAAAUAUAGUUUCUGGGAGGAAGAACCUAAAUCAUUUUAUUGUGAGGUACUGAUAAGAACAAAUUUUGGGUUCAGUUCCAUAUGCCAUAUUUUAGAAAGGUCACUAAUAAGUUUCAGUGUAUCCAGAAAAAUGAAUCACAUAUAUUGGGAGGACUGGAAAUCAUACCAUCCAAAGUUCAGUUGAAGGAUCUGAGCACAAUUAGCCCAGUGAAGUGAAGAAUUUGGAGAGAGGUCAUGAUAGUUAUCUUCUAAUAUUUGUAAUUAGAUUUGCUUUGCUUGGGUCUGGGGAGAAGGACUAUAACAAACGGGAGGAAGUUGUGAAGAAGCUACCUUAAGCUUAAUAUAAAGAAAAAAAAUUUCCAAAAAAUUAUGGCUAUUUAUAAGUAGAAUGAGCUACCUUGGGGAACAGAACACCUAGCAAUCACUGCAGAUAACAUGGUGAUUGGAUGGCUAUUAGACACAGUAGAGGGAAAUCCUAUUCAGGUACAAGUUGAACUCAAUAGCCUCUGAGAUUCUUGCCAACUCCCAGGUUCUACAAACAAUAUGUGAGUCCUGUUAAGCAUGGCUGACCAGGAUUUAAAAUUUCUUUGGAGGAGAGAGAUGUUAAGGGCCAAGUAUAGCUGUAGUUCCUCUGUAAUUCCUUGAUACAGAAAAAGUUACAAUAAUUUUUGUAUUUGUUUCCGUUUUUCUUCUACUUGUAGUCCUUCAAUUUUUAUCCUUAAAAGCCCUUGGAUGACUUUUCUUAGUUUCUCACCAAGUUUUCUUUAAAUUGGUUUUUACCAUCUACUUCUCUCUGCUUUAUGAGAUAACACUGCUUAUAAUCAUCCAUCAUCUAUAUUUUGUAUCAUUUUAUAAAUGACUUCAUAUUCUAACAAUGUUUUCUCUCCAUUUGGCAAGUAAUCCAGAUGUUUACUGACUACAAUGUUUUCUGGCUCUUUAUGUCUUUUGUGGGAAUUAAUUUACAUUGGUUAAAUAUUUUUAUAAAAUUAUGAUAGUUGGUAUCAAUGUCAUUUCUAUUGUCCAUUUCCCAUUGUUUAAAUAGUUCUGUGAUCAUUUGUAUGUCAUGUCUUUUUCUUAUUAUAGUCCUUGAUUUUUUAAAAAAUGAAUUCUGAUCUUAGUUGAGUUGAUGACCUGACUAUGUACACAGGCAGUUGAUUCAGGAAUAAUUACUACAUCAAUAACUUGCAUUUUU